GACGAACGCUGGCGGCGUGCUUAACACAUGCAAGUCGAACGGAAAGGCCCUGCUUUUGUGGGUUCCCGAGUGGCGAACGGGGGAGUAAAACGGUAGUUACCUUCCCUUGACCUUGGGAUAACUUUAGGAAACUGGGGCUAAUACCGGAUAGGAGCCCCCGCCGCAUGGUGGGGGUUGGAAAGGUUCGGCGGUUGGGGAUGGACUCGCGGCUUAUCAGCUUGUUGGUGGGGUAGUGGCUUACCAAGGCUUUGACGGGUAGCCGGCCUGAGAGGGUGACCGGCCACAUUGGGACUGAGAUACGGCCCAGACUCCUACGGGAGGCAGCAGUGGGGAAUAUUGCACAAUGGGCGGAAGCCUGAUGCAGCAACGCCGCGUGCGGGAUGACGGCCUUCGGGUUGUAAACCGCUUUCGCCUGUGACGAAGCGUGAGUGACGGUAAUGGGUAAAGAAGCACCGGCUAACUACGUG
rnacentral:rRNA from 1 species